ACUGAGACUAGAGACACAUUCUGACAUGGUACUUUUCCUGAUGUUGUAGAGUUCCAGAGAGGAUCUACUGGUCUUGAUUCACUGGUGGGACCCUGCAGUUCCCCUGUUAGUGCAAAUCAGAAACAUGU